AACGAACGCUGGCGGCGUGCUUAACACAUGCAAGUCGAACGGGCUGUAGCAAUACAGUCAGUGGCGCACGGGUGCGUAACGCGUAGAUAAUCUACCUCUCAGUGGGGGAUAACUAGGGGAAACUCUAGCUAAUACCGCAUAAGACCACGGAGUCUUCGGGCUUUGAGGGAAAAGGCGGCCUCUGAAUAUGCUGUCGCUGGGAGAUGAGUCUGCGUCCCAUCAGCUAGUUGGUGAGGUAAUGGCUCACCAAGGCAAAGACGGGUAGCUGGUCUGAGAGGAUGAUCAGCCACACUGGCACUGGAACACGGGCCAGACUCCUACGGGAGGCAGCAGUGGGGAAUUUUGGACAAUGGACGCAAGUCUGAUCCAGCAAUGCCGCGUGCAGGACGAAGGCCUUCGGUUGUAAACUGCUUUGUUACAGAACGAAAGGGCGUCUGGUUAAUACCUGGGCG
rnacentral:rRNA from 1 species